rnacentral:rRNA from 1 species
AUACGGAGGGUGCUAGCGUUAUUCGGAAUCACUGGGCGUAAAGGACGCGUAGGCGGGUUGGCAAGUCAGAUGUGAAAUCCUACAGCUUAACUGUAGAACUGCAUUUGAAACUGCUAACCUAGAGUAUGGGAGGGGGAGAUGGAAUUAGUGGUGUAGGGGUAAAAUCCGUAGAUAUCACUAGGAAUACCGAAAGCGAAGGCGAUCUCCUGGAACAUAACUGACGCUAAGGCGUGAAAGCGUGGGGAGCAAACAGGAUUAGAAACCCUAGUAGUCC